AGGUGGAUGAGCAGAAUUGGUAAUGCAGCGGACUGUAAAUCCGUGGCUUCGGCACUGGGGGUUCAAGUCCCUCUCCACCUACUA
rnacentral:tRNA from 1 species